AAACGACUCUCGGCAACGGAUAUCUUGGCUCUCGCAUCGAUGAAGAACGUAGCGAAAUGCGAUACUUGGUGUGAAUUGCAGAAUCCCGUGAACCAUCGAGUCUUUGAACGCAAGUUGCGCCCGAAGCCAUUCGGCCGAGGGCACGUCUGCCUGGGCGUCACGC
rnacentral:rRNA from 1 species